AACAGCAGGACACUGAUGUCUCUGGCGGGGCCUGCCUGUCUGCCAGCUCAGCCAGAGAGCAUGCAUCUAAAGGUCAUGUCCUCCAGUACCGGAGCCUCUCCGUGUCUCAGCUUCCUGGUGGACAAAACAUGGAUGAUUCUGAGCCUCUCAACCCUUGGGACUGAAUCAUCUCCCAGGUCUGCAGAUUUACUGCGUGCCAGGCGCUGUGCGGCGCUGUGGAGGAGGCCACGAUGAUGGACACAGGAUGCAAAUCUCAUCAUUUUCUGCUCUUGUUAAAAUCUCUCACAGGCUUCCUAUUUAUUUUGGGAUAAGGACUUCACUCCCUUGCUGGCCAUUCAGGGCUCCUCCUGUUCUGGCUCCCGACUCCAUCCGCAACCACACUCCCCAUCACUUAAGGCAACAAACACUUUGGAUUCUUUGCCUAACAAUAAAUAUGUCAGGGAAAAAACGUGCCUCUGAGUCCUGCUGCCUGUGUGUCCUUUUCAGGCUCUCAAAUGCUACACAUCCUUUAAGAGCAGGUUUGGAAAUGUUACCAACCUCCCUGGAGAAGCUUUUCAGAACCUCUUCCUAACCAGCCUGAAAGAAUUAGCAAACGAACAAAACAAACAAAACUUAACAACACUUAAAACAUUCUAAAUUCCUUGAGGGCAGGGUUCUGUGCCCUCUUCCUCUACCAUCUAGCAUAGAGCCUGGAAUAUUCCUUCAGAGAUUCCUUCAUUCUAGAUUCUCAUACACAACACUUCAUAUCCUGUUGUUGUUGUUUUAACUCCUUAUCACUUCCUAACAUACUCUACAUAUUUAUCUUACCUAUUUGGGGAGGGGGUGUCUUGGGGCUUUUCUGUUUCGUUCCUUGCUGUACCCCAUUGCUUAGAACAAUGCUUGGAACACAGUAGGCGCUCAACAGAUAAUCGUUGGGGAAAACAUGAAGCAAAUAAAAUGUGCAGUCAAAACUAUGGAUGUGUAAGCUACAGGGAAUGUUGAAAAUGGAAGCAUAUGAGCAAGAAUUUGUCAGCCUGACCUCAGUGUGUAGGUCUUAGGUGGGGAGAGAAGGGUUGAUCAACGCUCAGAUAUAACCUCUGUUAAGCAUACAGUAGGCUCUUGGCAACAGAACUGAACCUUUGACACUCCACCCUGGAGAGGAAGAAGGAGCUCCCCAGGGGUCAGCCUGCAGACAGCUGCAUCCUUUCUGUAAAUUAACCAGUAUGCCUCGCCAGUAUUUGUCCUUCCAUGUUUUCACCUCAUCACGUCCAAGAACCUCAAAGUGGGUGUGGGGAAAUGGAAGCCUGUGGGGGAAGGUGACAGUUUAGCUCUCAAUAUUAAACUCCAUGACUCAACCCACCGGCGGGCGGGCACUACCCUGGCAAGUUUGUAUCUAAGGUAGACGCGAGUCCUCUCCUCUGACCCUCCUUGGCUUGCUGCUACUGUAUCUCUGAGACAGGGUCUAGGGCUGAGGUCUUGGCCCCCACCCGUCGUAAUUUCUCGGUGAAUACGGGGCGGGGCCGUGAAUCAGCACUCGCUAAGACUGAAGCAGCCUCAGUCCCCGCCAGGGGUCCCCAGUGGCCGCGGAAUUAGAACCCCCUCCCUUCACCUCCGCUCGCGCGCUAUGACCAAUGGGAGGUGUAGUCCUAACCGCCCCUUUGUCCUUGAUGUCUCCAACAUAUCACCCCACAGCUGCGCAA